rnacentral:tRNA from 1 species
CCGCGGCUGCCGUGCUGGUGCCGGUCGCGGCGGCGCUCGCGUCGCUGCCGCUGGUGGACGACUCGGCCGAGGACGGCACCGCGACCGUCGCCGCGAUCCA